GACGAACCGAGCGAACGUUGUUCGGAAUCACUGGGCUUAAAGGGCGCGUAGGCGGGCCGCCGCGUCCGGGGUGAAAUCCUCCCGCUCAACGGGAGAACGGCCUCGGAUACGGGCGGCCUGGAGGGGGGUAGGGGCGUGCGGAACUGUGGGUGGAGCGGUGAAAUGCGUUGAUAUCCACAGGAACUCCGGUGGCGAAGGCGGCACGCUGGACCCCACCUGACGCUGAGGCGCGAAAGCCAGGGGAGCAAACGGG
rnacentral:rRNA from 1 species